rnacentral:rRNA from 1 species
AUGGCGGACGCGGCUGAGGCUAUCAACAGGGCGGCAACGACUACGGCGGCCGCGGUGGGCGCAACAACUACAGCGGCCGCGGCCGGGCCAGAGUCAACCGCCCCGGACAUGCAUCAAGCCACGGGGCCUCCCCUCUCCGAGCGCUACCACGCAGAGGCGGCUCAGCUCCGGGAGAAGUUCCACGCGAUGGACAUCAGCCGUGUGGCUGUAGAUCCAACCGACCGGCGAUGGAGCAGCUGUCAGCGUUCCUCCGCGCGGCACCAGGUUCCGUUGCACCUCCUCCAUUGUGCUCUCCCUGCCCCGCGGUCCCUACCAGAAGCCUUGCCAGCCGCAGUCUCCCAGAUCCUCCUCUCUACGCGUCUCUGCUUCCCGUGCGACGUCGCCGGCUUCACGAUCUCCACCACGAUGGGCGUCACGAGCCCAAGGGAGCGCGUCGAGACCAUGGCGAUAAUGCUUCCCUUCCUACCGUCGUUGCCGCGUUCCGCCAAUUGCGGCAGGAAGCCAUGGCGCAGGCAGAGAAGUCGCCUGUCGAGUAGGCGGCUUCAGCUGCAACACCGGAUAAAUUUUGAAUUCAGUGUAGUAGAGAACACCCACAAAAUCUUCACAAGGAUUCAUGAACUCACUUUCCAAUGGAAGAAAUGUGAUGUUCAAUUAGCAUUAACCCGAUUGAUCUCUUGCCUGGGGAAGGGGAGACUGAGGGGGAAAUGGCGACCAAGAGGAGCGUGGGCACCCUGGGCGACAAGGACCUCAGGGGGAAGAAGGUGUUCCUUCGUGCCGAUCUGA